rnacentral:rRNA from 1 species
CCUUGACAUACUAAGAACUUUCCAGAGAUGGAUUGGUGCCUUCGGGAACUUAGAUACAGGUGCUGCAUGGCUGUCGUCAGCUCGUGUCGUGAGAUGUUGGGUUAAGUCCCGNAACGAGCGCAACCCUUUUCCUUAUUUGCCAGCGGGUCAUGCCGGGAACUUUAAGGAUACUGCCAGUGACAAACUGGAGGAAGGCGGGGACGACGUCAAGUCAUCAUGGCCCUUACGGCCAGGGCUACACACGUGCUACAAUGGUCGGUACAAAGGGUUGCUACCUCGCGAGAGGAUGCUAAUCUCAAAAAGCCGAUCGUAGUCCGGAUCGCAGUCUGCAACUCGACUGCGUGAAGUCGGAAUCGCUAGUAAUCGCGGAUCAGAAUGCCGCGGUGAAUACGUUCCCGGGCCUUGUACACACCGCCCGUCACACCAUGGGAGUUUGUUGCACCAGAAGUAGGUAGUCUAACCGCAAGGAGGACGCUUACCACGGUGUGGCCGAUGACUGGGGUGAAGUCGUAACAAGGUAGGCGUAGCGAG